rnacentral:rRNA from 1 species
GACGAACCGUGCGAACGUUAUUCGGAAUCACUGGGCUUAAAGGGAGCGUAGGCGGGCUAUCAAGUCUGGGGUGAAAUGCCGCGGCUCAACCGUGGAACUGCCUCAGAUACUGACGGCCUCGAGGGAGAUAGGGGCAUGCGGAACUGUGAGGUGGAGCGGUGAAAUGCGUUGAUAUCGUACAGGAACUCCGGUGGCGAAAGCGGCGUGCUGGAUCUCUUCUGACGCUGAGGCUCGAAAGCUAGGGGGAGCAAACGGGA